rnacentral:rRNA from 1 species
AGAGUGUUGGGUUAAGUCCCGCAACGAGCGCAACCCCUAUUGCCAGUUGCUACCAGGUAAUGCUGGGCACUCUGGUGAGACUGCCCCGGUUAACGGGGAGGAAGGUGGGGACGACGUCAAGUCAUCAUGGCCCUUACGCCUAGGGCUACACACGUACUACAAUGGCGCAUACAAAGGGCAGCGAUACCGCGAGGUGGAGCCAAUCCCAAAAAGUGCGUCCCAGUCCGGAUUGCAGUCUGCAACUCGACUGCAUGAAGUUGGAAUCGCUAGUAAUUCGAGAUCAGCAUGCUCGGGUGAAUGCGUUCCCGGGCCUU